rnacentral:rRNA from 1 species
GACGAACGCUGGCGGCGUGCCUAAUACAUGCAAGUCGAGCGAAGUUUUUCUGGUGCUUGCACUAGAAAAACUUAGCGGCGACCGGGUGAGUAACACGUAAAGAACCUGCCUCAUAGACUGGGACAACUAUUGGAAACGAUAGCUAAUACCUGAUAACAGUAUUUCUCGCAUGAGAGAUAUUUAAAAGUUGGUUAUGCUAACACUAUGAGAUGGCUUUGCGGUGCAUUAGCUAGUUGGUGGGGUAAAGGCCCACCAAGGCGACGAUGCAUAGCCGACCUGAGAGGGUGAUCGGCCACACUGGGACUGAGACACGGCCCAGACUCCUACGGGAGGCAGCAGUAGGGAAUCUUCCGCAAUGGGCGAAAGCCUGACGGAGCAACGCCGCGUGAGUGAAGAAGGAUUUCGGUUCGUAAAGCUCUGUUGUUAGGGAAGAAUGGAUAUGUAGUAACUAUACAUGUAAGAGACGGUACCUAACCAGAAAGCCACGGCUAACUACGUG